rnacentral:rRNA from 1 species
AUACGUAGGUGGCAAGCGUUGUCCGGAAUUAUUGGGCGUAAAGCGCGCGCAGGUGGUUCCUUAAGUCUGAUGUAAAAGCCCCCGGCUAAACCGGGGAGGGUCAUUGGAACCUGGGGAACUGGAGUGCGGAAGAGGAAAGUGGAAUCCCAGGUGUAGCGGGGAAAUGCGUAGAGAUUUGGAGGAACACCAGUGGCGAAGGCGACUGUCUGGUCUGUAACUGACACUGAGGCGCGAAAGCGUGGGGAGCAAACAGGAUUAGAUACCCUGGUAGUCCACGCCGUAAACGAUGAGUGCUAAGUGUUGGGGGGUUUCCGCCCCUCAGUGCUGCAGCUAACGCAUUAAGCACUCCGCCUGGGGAGUACGGUCGCAAGACUGAAACUCAAAUGAAUUGACGGGG